UUUACAACAGGGGAAGACAACAACUCCAGAGGCUCAAAUCUUUUCCUUGUUGUUUCCACAGAGAAAAGAAACUUAUUGAAAAGGUGCGUGGAGCUGCAGGGAACAUGAUGUAAAUGCAGGAACCUCUCUCAAAUUUCCAGAGAUCACAUGUGUCUGAAGACAGACCCAAGACAAAGGGAACAUUUGCAAGUGCUGAUAUUGCCCGCUGUGCUACAAAUUAUUAACACGCAACCAAAGUGAAAAGGGGCAACACAUUUUUUAAGGUUGUUAGGAGACAGUUACAAUUUCCAGAGUUUCUUAGGAAGAGGCAUUGGUGGGAAUUGCAGCUCUGUGAGGGGACAGGGGUCUCUCAACAACUCUCAGCACCCUUAACAAAGUACACUGCCCAGUAUUCUUUGCAGGAGGCCAUGACUGUUCAAAGUGUUAUGAUACUUCUUCAAAUGCCUAAUUCCGAUGAGUCCUAAGGUACGCCAAUCCGAGUAGAAAAGAGCAGUUGCACACAACUCCCAGUUGGGGAGUGAUCUUAUAACAUGCCUGUUUUAUGAGGAGCAAUACAUCAGAUCUUCCUUUAGGGGAAAAAAGAGUUCACCAGCUUUCCUGGUGUGUAGUACAUGUUUUAAUUGCUUUUACUGUAGUUUUUUUCCAGUUUUCCACUGC
rnacentral:lncRNA from 1 species